rfam:Clostridiales bacterium S5-A11 contig063, whole genome shotgun sequence.
UAGAUGGCGACAUCUAGGAGAGAAGAAGCAAUAGCGAAAUCGUGGCUUGACGAACAGGAACAGAAUACAAGGCGUAACAGGUGGGCAAGCUAGCUAUAGAUAGCAAAGACCCAAAAGGUAACCGUAAACCCAAAGCGUAAAUUCUGCAAGUAAACGAUGAAAGUAUUAGGGC